AGAGUUUGAUUCUGGCUCAGAACGAACGCUGGCGGCGUGGAUGAGGCAUGCAAGUCGAACGAUCACUCGCAUGUAGCAAUAUAUGCGGGUGGGAGUGGCGUAGGGUGAGUAAUACGUGGGCAAUCUGCCCUCAAGUUGGGGAUAACCGGCGAAACGUGGCUAAUACCGAAUGUGGUCGAUAGCCGCGCACGCAUCCAAAGGCGGGGACCGCAAGGCCUGUCGCUUGGGGAUGAGCUCACGUCCUAUCAGCUUGUUGGUGAGGUAACGGCUCACCAAGGCUUACGGGUAGCUGGUCUGAGAGGAUGGUCAGCCACACUGGGACUGAGACACUGCCCAGACUCCUACGGGAGGCUGCAGUCGAGAAUCUUUCGCAAUGGGCGCAAGCCUGACGAAGCGACGCCGCGUGCAGGAUGAAGGCCUUCGGGUCGUAAACUGCUGUCUUCCGGGAGCAAUAGGCCGGGCGAUAACACCGCCUGGACUUGAUAGUACCGGAGAAGGAAGCCACGGCUAACUCUGUGCCAGCAGCCGCGGUAAUACAGAGGUGGCAAGCGUUGUUCGGAUUUACUGGGCGUAAAGGGUGCGUAGGCGGUUCUGCGUGUCGGGUGUGAAAUCCCACGGAUUAUCUGUGGAACGGCAUUCGAAACUGCAGGGCUAGAGUGUCGGAGAGGAGGGCGGAAUUCUCGGUGUAGCGGUGAAAUGCGUUGAUAUCGAGAGGAACGCCGGUGACGAAGGUGGCUCUCUGGACGACUACUGACGCUGAGGCACGAAAGCUAGGGGAGCAAACAGGAUUAGAUACCCUGGUAGUCCUAGGCGUAAACGGUGUGCACUUGGUGUGGGAGGAAUUAUCCCCUUCCGUGCCGAACUAACGCGAUAAGUGCACCGCCUGGGGAGUACGGGCGCAAGGCUAAAACUCAAAGGAAUUGACGGGGGCCCGCACAAGCGGUGGAGCAUGUGGCUUAAUUCGAUGCAACGCGAAGAACCUUACCUGGGCUUGACAUGUAACUGCGCCGCCGGGAAACCGGGGAAGCCUUCGAGGGUGUUACACAGGUGCUGCAUGGCUGUCGUCAGCUCGUGCCGUGAGGUGUUAGGUUAAGUCCUGCAACGAGCGCAACCCCUGUGACUAGUUGCCAUCGGGUCAUGCCGGGCACUCUAGUCAGACUGCCUGUGAUAAGCAGGAGGAAGGUGGGGAUGACGUCAAGUCAGUAUGGUCCUUAUGCCCAGGGCCACACGUGCUACAAUGAUCAGUACAGAGGGAGCGAGACCGCGAGGUGGAGCAAAUCCCAGAAAACCGAUCACAGUUCAGAUUGGAGUCUGCAACUCGACUCCAUGAAGCCGGAAUCGCUAGUAAUGGCGCAUCAGCUACGGCGCCGUGAAUACGUUCCCGGGCCUUGUACACACCGCCCGUCACACCAUGGGAGUUUGUGCACCAGAAGCAGGUAGUCUAACCGAAAGGAGGCGCUUGCCACGGUUUGGCCGAUGACUGGGGUGAAGUCGUAACAAGU
rnacentral:rRNA from 1 species